GGGAUUGCCCUAGUAACGGCGAGUGAAGCGGCAACAGCUCAAAUUUGAAAUCUGGCUCUUUCAGAGUCCGAGUUGUAAUUUGCAGAGGGCGCUUUGGCUUUGGCAGCGGUCCAAGUUCCUUGGAACAGGACGUCACAGAGGGUGAGAAUCCCGUACGUGGUCGCUAGCUAUUGCCGUGUAAAGCCCCUUCGACGAGUCGAGUUGUUUGGGAAUGCAGCUCUAAAUGGGAGGUAAAUUUCUUCUAAAGCUAAAUAUUGGCCAGAGACCGAUAGCGCACAAGUAGAGUGAUCGAAAGAUGAAAAGCACUUUGGAAAGAGAGUCAAACAGCACGUGAAAUUGUUGAAAGGGAAGCGCUUGCAGCCAGACUUGCUUGCAGUUGCUCAUCCGGGCUUUUGCCCGGUGCACUCUUCUGCAGGCAGGCCAGCAUCAGUUUGGGCGGUGGGAUAAAGGUCUCUGUCACGUACCUUCCUUCGGGUUGGCCUUAUAGGGGAGACGCCAUACCACCAGCCUGGACUGAGGUCCGCGCAUCUGCUAGGAUGCUGGCGUAAUGGCUGUAAGCGGCCCGUCUUGAAACACGGACCAAGGAGUCUAACAUCUAUGCGAGUGUUUGGGUGUCAAGCCCGAGCGCGUAAUGAAAGUGAACGGAGGUGGGAACCCGCAAGGGUGCACCAUCGACCGAUCCUGAAGUUUACGGAAGGAUUUGAGUAAGAGCAUGGCUGUUGGGACCCGAAAGAUGGUGAACUAUGCUUGAAUAGGGUGAAGCCAGAGGAAACUCUGGUGGAGGCUCGCAGCGGUUCUGACGUGCAAAUCGAUCGUCAAAUUUGGGCAUAGGGGCGAAAGACUAAUC
rnacentral:rRNA from 1 species